rnacentral:tRNA from 1 species
GCACCUAUAGCUCAGUAGGAUAGAGCGUCCGCCUCCUAAGCGGAAGGCCACAGGUUCGAAUCCUGUUAGGUGCGCCA